AUGCUCAGUGAAUGAUUUGUUGAUUGCAGCAUAUAGAGCUUGUUUCCCCUCCACCUCCGGAAGCUGCAAUUGCUAAGUUUGAUGUUGUUGGUCCUGUAUGGCAUUGGUUUGGUAGUUCACGAUGCAGGUGCUUACUGCAUGAGUAUGGCAUCAACUUACAAUCUCAAGAUGCGCCCACCAGAGAACUGGGUGGAAGAAGAUGAAUCACUGUCCAAAAUCCGUCAUGGGGAGACAUUCGAAGACCAUUUAAGAUUGUUUGAAGGUCUGUAAAAUAAUGGUUUCUUUUAAGCACUUAAACAUGACAGGAUGUGAGACUCAGAAAUUCCUCUGGUAGUUUGGUUCCUGUUAGUGUUGACAAUUCUGUAUUUGAAUUGUUCCAAUUAAUGGAUUUUCCCCAUGACUU